AUUGAACGCUGGCGGCAGGCCUAACACAUGCAAGUCGAACGAGUGGCGGACGGGUGAGUAAUGUCUGGGAAACUGCCCGAUGGAGGGGGAUAACUACUGGAACCGGUAGCUAAUACCGCAUACCAUCGGAUGUGCCCAGCUGGGAUUAGCUUGUAGGUGAGGUAACGGCUCACCUAGGCGACUAUCCCUAGCUGGUCUGAGAGGAUGACCAGCCACGCGGGAAUUGUGACACGGUCAAGACUCCUACGGGAGGCAGCAGUCGGGAAUAUGGCACAACGGUCGCAAUCGUGAUGCAGCCAGGCCGGGGGUAUGAAGAAGGCAUUCGGGUUGUAAAGUACUUUCAGCGGGGCGGCGUUACCCGCAGAAGAAGCACCGGCUAACGCCGUGCCAGCAGCCGCGGUAAUAC
rnacentral:rRNA from 1 species